rnacentral:sRNA from 1 species
UGUUGGUCGAAAAGGAACGCCCACAGA